GCUUUACUGUAACUUGAAAUUGAAAUUGGACUUUAUUUGCGCAGUAUAGGUGGGAGGCAUUGAGAAUAUUCUUGCGGGAAUAUUGGAGCCAUUAGUGAGAUACCACUCUUGUAAUGUUAGAUUUCUAACUUUGUAUCAUAAUCUGGUCAAAGAACAGUUUCAGGCGGGCAGUUUGACUGGGGCGGUCGCCUCCCAAACGGUAACGGAGGCGCACAAAGGUUUCCUCUGAACGUGUAGAAAUCGUAUCUAGAGUGUAAAGGCAUAAGGAAGCUUGACUGUGAGACCUACAAGUCGAGCAGGGACGAAAGUCGGUCUUAGUGAUCUGACGGUGCUGAGUGGAAAGGCCGUCACUCAACGGAUAAAAGUUACUCUAGGGUAAAAAGGCUGAAA
rnacentral:rRNA from 1 species